GGAGUUAGCCGGUGCUUCUUCUGUGAGUGAUGUCCUUCCUGCCGGCUAUUAACCCGCAGGCCUUCUUCCUCACUGAAAGUGCUUUACAACCCGAAGGCCUUCUUCACACACGCGGCAUGGCUGGAUCAGGGUUGCCCCCAUUGUCCAAUAUUCCCCACUGCUGCCUCCCGUAGGAGUCUGGGCCGUGUCUCAGUCCCAGUGUGGCUGAUCAUCCUCUCAGACCAGCUACGGAUCGUCGCCUUGGUGAGCCGUUACCUCACCAACCAGCUAAUCCGACAUAGGCUCAUCCGAUAGCGCGAGGCCCGAAGGUCCCCCGCUUUCCCCCGUAGGGCGUAUGCGGUAUUAGCCUGGGUUUCCCCAGGUUAUCCCCCACUACCGGGCAGAUUCCUAUGCAUUACUCACCCGUCCGCCGCUCGCCACCAGGGAGCAAGCUCCCCGUGCUGCCGCUCGACUUGCAUGUGUUAGGCCUGCCGCCAGCGUUCAAUCUGAGCCAUAGUCAACUACUCGA
rnacentral:rRNA from 1 species